UGGCCUUAUGGGCAAAUUAUGUGUGAAUCACCUUGUGGUGAUAGAAUUGUUGGGAAUUGAGUAAUGGUUAUUAUGGCUUUGGAGGAUGGUAAGUUGGCUUAAUCUCAUAUUAGGGAUAAAAUUGUUCUUGCUUGGUUUGAUCCACUUAUGGUGGAGGUGUUUAAUUAUGGAAUGUAUUGUGACCAUGGCCUUAAAGGCAAGACAUGAGGAGCUAAUGUUGACUUAGAAUUGUUUACUUGUUUGUUACAUUGUGACCAUGGCCUUGAAGGCAUAGUAUGAGAAAUUGAAGUGUUAUCAUG
rnacentral:lncRNA from 1 species